rnacentral:tRNA from 1 species
GGAGAAGUACCGAAGUGGUCAUAACGGGGCGCACUCGAAAUGCGUUUGACGAUUAUUCGUCACGGGGGUUCGAAUCCUCUCUUCUCCGCCA